rnacentral:rRNA from 1 species
CGAACGGGACUCUUCGGAGUUUAGUGGCGGACGGGUGAGUAACGCGUGAGAAUCUGCCCUUAGGUUGGGGACAGCAGUUGGAAACGACUGCUAAUACCCAAUGUGCCGGGAGGUGAAAGGUUAACUGCCUGGGGAUGAGCUCGCGUCUGAUUAGCUAGUUGGAGUGGUAACGGCACACCAAGGCGACGAUCAGUAGCUGGUCUGAGAGGAUGAUCAGCCACACUGGGACUGAGACACGGCCCAGACUCCUACGGGAGGCAGCAGUGGGGAAUUUUCCGCAAUGGGCGAAAGCCUGACGGAGCAAGACCGCGUGAGGGAGGAAGGCCUAUUGGUUGUAAACCUCUUUUGAUAGGGAAGAACACAAUGACGGUACCUAUCGAAUCAGCAUCGGCUAACUCCGUGCCAGCAGCCGCGGUAAUACGGAGGAUGCAAGCGUUAUCCGGAUUUAUUGGGCGUAAAGCGUCCGUAGGUGGCAAACCAAGUCAGUUGUUAAAGCGUAGAGCUUAACUCUAUAAGGGCAAUUGAAACUGGUUAGCUAGAGUGCGAUAGGGGCAAGGGGAAUUCCCAGUGUAGCGGUGAAAUGCGUAGAUAUUGGGAAGAACAUCGGUGGCGAAGGCGCCUUGCUGGGUCUGCACUGACACUGAGGGACGAAAGCUAGGGGAGCGAAAGGGAUUAGAUACCCCUGUAGUCCUAGCCGUAAACGAUGGAUACUAGGCGUUGUCCGUAUCGACCCGAGCCGUG